rnacentral:lncRNA from 1 species
UCCCUAAAAUGAAAAAAGUUACUGAUAUUGGACCAGCGUAUGGAGAUAUCGAACAGAACCUUGCCUUCGACCGGUACUCACGCACAACCAUGAACUUGAAUCCCCCUCCACCCAUUUGAAUUUCAUCAUUUGAAACUCAAUUUGAAAUCAAAAGAAAGAAGCAGAAGUAUAUAUUUUUCGUAUUUUUUCGUUGUAAAUAGGAACCGAAUUCAAAAAAGCACUGGAAAUUCAAUCCAGUUUCAUCACCUUUAUUCGUUCCUUUCUAGGAGUUAGGGAAUUGAAGAUUGAAAAUUUUUGGUCUAUCUUCCUUUCAAGAAUGGCUGCUGUUUGUGCUUUAGAGUUGUAGGUCUAGGUUUUUUU